rnacentral:rRNA from 1 species
UACGUAGGGGGCUAGCGUUGUCCGGAUUUAUUGGGCGUAAAGAGCGUGUAGGCGGCCAGGUAGGUCCGUUGUGAAAACUCGAGGCUCAACCUCGAGACGUCGGCGGAAACCCUCUGGCUAGAGUCCGGAAGAGGAGAGUGGAAUUCCUGGUGUAGCGGUGAAAUGCGCAGAUAUCAGGAAGAACACCCGUGGCGAAGGCGGCUCUCUGGGACGGUACUGACGCUGAGACGCGAAAUCGUGGGGAGCAAACAGG